rnacentral:rRNA from 1 species
AGUGAACGCUGGCGGUAGGCCUAACACAUGCAAGUCGAACGGCAGCACAGGAGAGCUUGCUCUCUGGGUGGCGAGUGGCGGACGGGUGAGGAAUACAUCGGAAUCUGCCCAGUCGUGGGGGAUAACGUAGGGAAACUUACGCUAAUACCGCAUACGACCUUCGGGUGAAAGAGGGGGAUCGCAAGACCUCUCGCGAUUGGAUGAGCCGAUGUCGGAUUAGCUAGUUGGCGGGGUAAUGGCCCACCAAGGCGACGAUCCGUAGCUGGUCUGAGAGGAUGAUCAGCCACACUGGAACUGAGACACGGUCCAGACUCCUACGGGAGGCAGCAGUGGGGAAUAUUGGACAAUGGGCGCAAGCCUGAUCCAGCCAUACCGCGUGGGUGAAGAAGGCCUUCGGGUUGUAAAGCCCUUUUGUUGGGAAAGAAAUCUUUCAGGCUAAUACCCUGGGAGGAUGACGGUACCCAAAGAAUAAGCACCGGCUAACUUCGU